CCUACGGGAGGCAGCAGUAGGGAAUAUUGGGCAAUGGAGGCAACUCUGACCCAGCCAUGCCGCGUGCAGGAAGAAGGCGUUAUGCGUUGUAAACUGCUUUUAUAUGGGAAGAAAAAGGCUAUGCGUAGCAAAUUGACGGUACCAUAUGAAUAAGCACCGGCUAACUCCGUGCCAGCAGCCGCGGUAAUACGGAGGGUGCAAGCGUUGUCCGGAUUUAUUGGGUUUAAAGGGUGCGUAGGCGGCUUUUUAAGUCAGCGGUGAAAGACUGUCGCUCAACGACGGAACUGCCGUUGAUACUGAUUAGCUUGAGUAUGAUUGAGGCAGCCGGAAUGGAUAGUGUAGCGGUGAAAUGCAUAGAUAUUAUCCAGAACGCCAAUAGCGUAGGCAGGUUGCUAAGUCAUUACUGAUGCUGAGGCACGAGAGUGCGGGGAUCAAACAGGAUUAGAUACCCUGGUAGUCCGCACUGUAAACGAUGAUGACUAGCUGUCGGGCCUUCGGGUUCGGUGGCACAGGGAAACCGUUAAGUCAUCCACCUGGGGAGUACGCCGGCAACGGUGAAACUCAAAUGAAUUGACNG
rnacentral:rRNA from 1 species